rnacentral:rRNA from 1 species
UAAUACGGGGGGUGCAAGCGUUGUUCGGAUUUACUGGGCGUAAAGGGCGCGUAGGCGGACCUUCAAGUCGGACGUGAAAACUGGCAGCUCAACUGCCAGCCUGCAUUCGAUACUGUUGGUCUUGAGUACAGGAGAGGAAAGCGGAAUUCCAGGUGUAGCGGUGAAAUGCGUAGAUAUCUGGAAGAACACCGGUAGCGAAGGCGGCUUUCUGGCCUGAUACUGACGCUGAAGCGCGAAGGCUAGGGUAGCAAACAGGAUUAGAUACCCUGGUAGUCCUAGCGGUAAACGAUGGGCACUAGGUGUCGGGGGUAUCGACCCCCUCGGUGCCGCAGCUAACGCAUUAAGUGCCCCGCCUGGGGAGUACGGUCGCAAGAUUG